rnacentral:lncRNA from 1 species
ACAUGUGUACUAAGUUUCAAGUUGAUUGGACUUCAACUUCAUCAAAAACUACCUUGACCAAAAACUUUAACCUGAAGCGGGACAGACGGACGAACGAACGGACGAACGAACGAACGAACAGACGGACGGACGAACGAACGAACGGACGCACAGACCAGAAAACAUAAUGCCCCUCUACUAUCGUAGGUGGGGCAUAAAAAUCAAAAUG